UGAGGAAUAUUGCACAAUGGGCGCAAGCCUGAUGCAGCGACGCCGCGUGUGGGAUGAAGGGGCUACGCCUCGUAAACCACUGUAGCCCGGGACGAAAAACGCCUUAGAGGAGUUAGACGGUACCGGGAAAGUAAGGGUCGGCUAACUACGUGCCAGCAGCCGCGGUAAUACGUAGGACCCAAGCGUUGUCCGGAUUUACUGGGUGUAAAGGGCGCGCAGGCGGGAUAAAAAGUCAGUGGUGAAAUCCUACAGCUUAACUGUAGAACUGCCUUUGAUACUUUUAGUCUUGAGUGCGGGAGAGAGAGACGGAAUUCCAGGUGUAGUGGUGAAAUACGUAGAUAUAUGGAAGAACACCCGUGGCGAAGGCGGUCUCUUGGUCCGACACUGACGCUGAGGCGCGAAAGCGUGGGG
rnacentral:rRNA from 1 species